rnacentral:rRNA from 1 species
AUUGAACGCUGGCGGCAUGCCUUACACAUGCCAGUCGAACGGCAGCACGGGUGCUUGCACCUGGUGGCGAGUGGCGAACGGGUGAGUAAUACAUCGGAACAUGUCCUGUAGUGGGGGAUAGCCCGGCGAAAGCCGGAUUAAUACCGCAUACGAUCUACGGAUGAAAGCGGGGGACCUUCGGGCCUCGCGCUAUAGGGUUGGCCGAUGGCUGAUUAGCUAGUUGGUGGGGUAAAGGCCUACCAAGGCGACGAUCAGCAGCUGGUCUGAGAGGACGACCAGCCACACUGGGACUGAGACACGGCACAGACUCCUACGGGAGGCAGCAGUGGGGAAUUUUGGACAAUGGGCGAAAGCCUGAUCCAGCAAUGCCGCGUGUGUGAAGAAGGCCUUCGGGUUGUAAAGCACUUUUGUCCGGAAAGAAAUCCUUGGCCCUAAUACGGUCGGGGGAUGACGGUACCGGAAGAAUAAGCACCGGCUAACUACGUG